GCGACCCCAGGUCAGGCGGGACAACCCGCUGAGUU
rnacentral:rRNA from 1 species